AGUACGUCCCUCUGAGCUCACUUCCGUCGGUUUGAGUUGGCUGUUCUUCCAGCGCCUCGCAGCUUUUGUUCUCCCAUUUCCAACUAGCCAGCGCUGCUGAGAAGAGGGAACCAAACGGUUGGGAAGCGGUAAAGAGUAACGGACCCGUCGGUCGCACAAAAACGCCACAUGCAAAGCGCGGUCUGCAAAGAGGAUACGCGGUUUUCCGUAGUUACAUAAUUGGACUACUUUUUCCUCCCCGUAUACUGUUGGGUUUAUUUUUCUCCACGCUUUAUUUUUUGCACCGAAACUGACUGCCCCCCCUACACCUCCAAACUCAACAAAAUGGAGAACGACGACAAAUAUCUCCCCGAGCUUCUGGCGGAGAAGGACAGCCUGGACUCGUCGUUCACGCACGCCAUGAAACUUUUAAACGCGGAAAUUGACAGAAUCCAGAAAGGUGAGACUAAAAAGGAAACGGAGACAUACCUGGACCUUUUCACGACGAAGAACAUCAAACUCAAGGAGCGAGUGCUCAUACCUGUCAAACAGUACCCGAAGUUCAAUUUUGUGGGGAAGAUUUUGGGACCUCAGGGCAACACAAUCAAACGUCUGCAGGAGGAGACUGGAGCCAAGAUCUCUGUGCUGGGCAAAGGAUCCAUGAGAGACAAAGCCAAGGAGGAGGGGCUGAGGAAAAGCGGCGAGCCCAAGUAUGCCCACCUCUCCAUGGAGCUGCACGUGUUCAUCGAGGUUUUUGCGCCUGUGCCCGAGGCUUACCUGCGCAUGGCCCACGCCAUGGAGGAGGUCAAGAAGUUCCUGUUUCCGGAUAUGAUGGAUGAUAUCUGCCAGGAGCAGUUCAUGGAGAUGAGCUACCUGAACGGAGGCCAGGAUCACGGAGCCCGAGGCCGAGGUGGCCUGCCAGUCAGGGGCCGCGGUGUCCCCCCUGCAGGAGCACACAGGGGCAGGGGAAUGCCGCCUCGUGGUGCUGCCGCCAGGGGAGGUGUGACUCGAGGUGGCCCAGCCAGAGGUGGCGCAGUGAGGGGUGCCCCAGCAGGCAGAGGAGGACCUCCCGCAGCACCCGCCAGGGGAGCUGUGGCACCCCGUGCCAGACUCACAGCUGGAGGACCUCCCCAGAGGAUGCCACCACCGCCUCCCCACCAGCACAACCCCGGUGCAGCUGCUGAAGGCUAUGACGAAUAUGGCUACGAUGAGAGCUACACAGACACGGCCUACGAGUCUUACGACAGCUAUUACAGUCAGCCGCAGGCAGAGCCAGAAUAUUAUGACUAUGGACAUGGGGAGACCACAGAGUCGUACGAGUCCUAUGGCCAGGAUGACUGGAAUGGCACCCAGCGGACAACUCCAGGGAAGGCCCCUCCCCCCUCUCGAGGCGGCAAGACGACUUACCGGGAGCACCCAUAUCGACAGUACUGAAGCGGACUCGCCACCCUUAGUGUCGCCCUGACAAGCGCCUGUCUACCACGGCAGCUCUCGCUUUAAGAAGCCCGACAAAAGUAAUUGUCUGUUUUGUCUUUGGUUUGGUCUUUUCCUACGCCGGACUUUAUACAAGAGAGCAAAUUGGGAACUGAAAAUCGGAACUGGUUUUUGAGAUUUGACCGCGAACUCCCUCCCCCACCCCUUCUUUGUCGCACCAACCAACCAUCCAACCAACCAAAGCGGCUUUUAGAUGGGUCAGAGAUGAGAAGUUGGCGUUCUAUAUAGUUUUUUUUUUUCUUUUUCUUUGAGUUUUUUUAAGUUUUGCUGUCAUUUUUUCCUCUGACCCUUUUUACCCUCUUCUGGCUUUUUUGCAUUGUUGAUCGUUAAUUUUUAAUUAUUUUUAUUUUAUUUUUUAACUGUUUGGGAGUAGUCAUUUCUAGUUGAAUUAGUGGCUCAUUAUCCACUUGUCUAAGGAAUCCAUUUUAAUUGUUUUUAUAUACAUAUAUAUAAAGAAUCUGUUGAGGGUCAGUUGCAGAUUCCCAUUUAGGCUACAUUUCAAAAUUCUGUUAAUAUAGCCAAAUAAAAGACCUUUUAAACGUUCAGUUAUGUAAUAUAGAAACAAACAAAAACCCAAAUCCUUAAAUGAAGCAAAGGCUAACUCAAGUACAAUUCAUUCUUGAUUAUGGUUUGUUGUUUAAAUAGUUCUAAAACGUUGUCCAUUUAGACUUAGGCAGCAAUAUUUGUCAUUGUACUUAGAGUUUUGAAAUAUAGCCCUAAUAGACACUGUUGAGAUGGACUGUCCUCAUAUCCUCAAUUUGUUUGUCAUGUUUAAAAACAAAAAAAUUAAUCAUUUUAAGACUGAAGACAAAAUGUUUGUUUAAUGAGAACACGGCCGAGACCUGGUCUCACCUGUUGUGCUAAAAGAAAAAAGAAACACACGGUUCAGGUCUUGAUUUUGUGAUCUGACUCUACAUAAACUGCAUGCACAAAGUACACAAAGAAGGAUUGGGACAAAAAUCUCCACAUGGGUCUUCUCUUUCUAUAGAGAAGGGAUCCUGCAGCUCAAUCCGAACUCUUGUACAUAUUUUAAAACAUCCUAACUGUACUUAUUCUGCCACUAGUAUCUGUACCCUCUCCAUAAAAUGCAUUAUGCUACAUGUGUAAGCUUGCCUAAAUAGGUUACUAAAUCUGUCCAAAAGAUGUUUUGCAGCAGUUUGUCAAUAAAGCUUAGUUUGUUUUUUAUGAAACUUAACUUGCUUUAUUUGUUUCCUGUCCUAGUAAAAUUCUGAAAUGGCCUUUUUUAAACCAGCAGUCAGAUGUAGGUGUUUUCCUUUGUUUCUCAUUCAAAAGCGCUUUUUAAAUCUAAAUGAAUGUAUUGACGUCUGAAGACUUUAACCCUACUAAAUGAUGUCUUGAUUGAUUAUCAAAAGAGCACAACUUAUUCUUUCUCUCUCUUUCUAUACUUUUUAAAAAGGACCCAGAGGUAAGACCUCUAAAAUAACCUGGAUAGCUUCCUAAUGUGUAUAGAGUUCUAAAGCAUUGAAUGCCUGGGUACGUAUAAGACUUUUUCAAUCCUCCUACCUGUGGUCGUAAUCCUUAAUGAGAAUUGCUUUUAUAGCAUCUGAAAAUUAACUGAGUUCAAACCACCAUUCAGGUCUAGGCUUCAUUGUCAUGAAUGACAGCUGGCGCGAUGGCUACUUUAGUACAGAGUGUAAUGGCAGUGCAAUGGAGAGGAUGGUUAUAACCUAGAGAACUCCACUGUAAAGUCAUGGCAUCAAAAAAGAAUCGACUCAAAAGCACAGCUAUCAGUCACUGAGUGCCCGGAGACUGACGGUCGGCUGGACGGAGACCAUGCAAACGUCAGUUGAAGCCGUGCACGGGAGCAGCUCAGCAUGGUGUCGUGGUCGGACGGAGCUGAAAAGGAGUGGCCUCGAGGCCCAGUUCUGUUCCUGGCAGGGGUUGUGGGAGG